rnacentral:tRNA from 1 species
CAAAGAAUAGUUUAAUUAAGAAUACUAGCUUUGGGAGUUGGUGGUGGGGGUUAAAAUCCCUCUUUUUUGA